AGCACAGGCCUUCCCCGAGAGCAGAGUGGCGGAAGUGUUAUUUCUCAGCGCCUCAAUUUCCCCAUCUAGAAAAUGGCGCUACAGGAACCUGAUAGCAUGGUGAUACUUUUGAAGAUCAUUGCCAAAACCAGCCCCAAAGAGAAAGAAUGAACUGACAGCAGUUCCUCCAACUAUUUUGCAGGUAACCAAGACUGGCUGUGACUCUUUGCUGAAGGCCAGAGAUAUCACCAG